rnacentral:lncRNA from 1 species
CAAGUUCACAUGUGACUGCUUUCAGCUCCUGCCUCCCUGCUCCUCUUGUAGUCUAAUCAGUUGCUGCUUUUCAACCUGAGUCAUUUUCUCACGAUGCACCAAGAAGGCCUUGGUGGUUUCCUGCUCUAAAUGCCAGUCUCACCAUCCUAACAGCAGAGGUAGGAGUGGCCACGUUAUGACAACCUGCAUUCUGCUCACAUGAGCUUCCUUGUGGAUGAGUCAAAAGGCCUCCCUUGUGGCCUCUCCGAAGGGUGGGGUCCCGUGGAGCUGCCAAGGCCUCCCACCCCCACAGCACAGUGUCACCACUUUCACAGCCACCACCCUCCUGGAGCCAAGAAGUGAAGAAAUUGGUUAAACAAGGAAGAGACACACCCUCAGCUCAGAUUUGCUUGGAAGGCCAGUGAUUUCCACUCUUUCUUUUCAAAACAACCACACAGUUCUGGGACCCAAAUGUUGAUUGUCCUCAUGGAGGAAUGAGUCUCUGUCCACAGCAAGAACAUUCCAGAAAUGUCCAUCCAGCAUCGUCAGUGCGCCAGACAUCCAGGAGGGCCCACAGAUGGACCACACCUUGUCCAUGUUCCCAGGACGCUCCCUCCUACAAAACCACACACCCGAUGAUGGGCCAGGAGGAAAUGUCGAAGAAGAGCAUUGGGAGAGAAAGAGGCCCCACAGCAGGCCCAGGCUGCUGGUGCCAUGAUGUCCCAAUGAACCAUAGCAGGUUGGGACCAGAGCAGCCCUGGUGGUGGGGGUGGGAGAGAAAAGAGAUGACUCUUCUUGCCUUUUCUCCCUCUGCGAUCUUCACAGAGUCUUUGCCAAGAGCACAUGCGGUAAUAAAUGUGAAAGUGAGCUCUCAACUGCACAGGCGACACGGCAGAGAGGAACUGGAAGAGAAGUGCUGUGAAUGCUGUCACCUCUGGUGGGAAUCAUAUGAGAACACAGAUGGCAUCACCCACCUCCCAACCUCCCGGUCCUUUUCUUUUUCCAGUCACUUGGGUUUGAGGGUCCUUGCUAGGGGGCUUGAGCUUAGGUGGGGUUUUCUGCUAGAAGACCAGAGUGCUGGGGUAAGUGACAGAGGGAGAGGGAGAGAGACAGAGAGACAGAGACAGACAGAGACAUAGAGAGAUCCUUUAUGGUAGAGGAGCCUCCUCCUCCUGAGGCUGGGACCAGAGAAUACAGUCAUUGUAGGGAACCGCCCUUUGUCUUUCAUGGCUUUUUCUAAAUGGGUGCCCAUUAGGUUGCUGGGCACGUGGCCUGGUUUGAACGCAUCAAGAGGGGUUUGUUCCCUCAUCAAGUGAAUUUGGGAAACACUUCACCUAACAGUACAUACCCUCAUAGACAGUAAAAUGCUCAUUUAGUUUUAUAAAGAAGCUGUAAAAGUAGCUAGAGUAUAUAAAGAACUCAAAAAAUUAGAUCACCUAAAAUAAAAGACCCAAAGCAAGAAACAGCUAAGUGAAACAAACAGACACUUCUCAGGAGAAGUACACAUGGUCAACAAACAUAUGAAAAAAGUUCAAUAUCCCUGACCAUUAGAGAAAUGCAAAUUAAAGCCAUGCUAAGAUUCCAUCUUGUAUCAGAAAGAAUUGCAGUCAUCAAGAAGUCAAAGAAUGAGGGAGGCUACAAUGAAAAAGGAGCACUCCAUUGUUGGCAGGAAUGUAGACUAGAACUAUGAAAAUCAGUAUGACAUUCUCAAACAACUAAACAAUUAAAAUUAGAAAUUCCACUUGACCUAGCUAUUCUCCUUCUAGGUAUCUUCCCAAGAGUUAAAAUUAUCAUAUUACGGUGAUAUACACAUCACCAUGCAGCACAAUUUAUAAUAGCUAAAUCCUAGAAGCAGCCAGUAUGCUCAUCAACAGAGGAAUGGAUAAAGAAAAUGUGGUAUUUACACACAAUGGAGUAUUACUCUGCCAUAAAGGAUAAAUGAAUCAUUUGUAGGAAAAUGCGUGCAC